GUAGUCCAUGCCGUAAACGAUGCUAACUCGUUUUUGGGCUUUAGGGUUCAGAGACCAAGCGAAAGUGAUAAGUUAGCCACCUGGGGAGUACGCUCGCAAUAGUGAAACUCAAAGGAAUUGACGGGGGCCCGCACAAGCGGUGGAUUAUGUGGUUUAAUUCGAUGAUACGCGAGGAACCUUACCAAGACUUAAAUGGGAAUUGACAGCUUUAGAAAUAGAGCUUUCUUCGGACAAUUUUCAAGGUGCUGCAUGGUUGUCGUCAGCUCGUGCCGUGAGGUGUUAGGUUAAGUCCUGCAACGAGCGCAACCCCUGUCACUAGUUGCCAUCAUUCAGUUGGGGACUCUAGUGAGACUGCCUACGCAAGUAGAGA
rnacentral:rRNA from 1 species